CACGUAGGGCGCAAGCGUUGUCCGGAAUUAUUGGGCGUAAAGAGCUCGUAGGCGGUCUGUUGCGUCCGCUGUGAAAACUCGGGGCUUAACCCCGAGCCUGCAGUGGAUACGGGCAGACUAGAGGUAGGUAGGGGAGAAUGGAAUUCCCGGUGUAGCGGUGAAAUGCGCAGAUAUCGGGAGGAACACCGGUGGCGAAGGCGGGUCGCUGGACAGUUCCUGACACUGAGACACGAAAGGCCAGGGGGAGCAAACGGG
rnacentral:rRNA from 1 species